CCUACGGGAGGCAGCAGUGGGGAAUUUUGCGCAAUGCUCGUAAGAGUGACGCAGCGACGCCGCGUGAAUGACGAAGGCCUUCGGGUCGUAAAGUUCUUUCGACAGGGAAGAAAAUGCCUAUAAGUAACUGUGUAUGUAUUGACGGUACCUGUAUAAGCAGCCCCGGCUAACUCCGUGCCAGCAGCCGCGGUAAUACGGAGGGGGCGAGCGUUGUUCGGAGUGACUGGGCGUAAAGAGCACGUAGGCGGUGUUGUAAGUCAUUAGUCAAAGACUAGAGCUCAACUUUAGUAAGGCUAGUGAUACUAUAAUACGAGAGUAUCAGAGAGGAUGGCAGAAUUCCUGGUGUAGCGGUGAAAUGCGUAGAUAUCAGGAGGAAUACCGUUAGCGAAGGCGGCAAUCUGGCUGGAAACUGACGCUGAGGUGCGAAAGCGUGGGUAGCAAACAGGAUUAGAUACCCCAGUAGUC
rnacentral:rRNA from 1 species